rnacentral:lncRNA from 1 species
CUUGGUUUUCCAUUCCUGAGUUAUUUCACUUAGAAUGAUGGUCUCCAAUUUGAUCCAGGUUGCUGAGAAUGCCAUUAUUUCAUUCCUUUUUAAGGCUGAGUAAUAUUCCAUAGUAUACAUAUACUACAUUUUCUUUAUCUACUCAUUGAUGGGCAUUUGGGCUAGCUCCAUAUUUUUGCAAUUGUGAAUCAUGCUUUUAUAAACAUGCAUGUGCAGGUAUAUUUUUCUUAUAAUGACUUAUUUUUCUCUGGAUAGAUACCCAGGAAUGGGGGUAGAUCUACUUUUAGUUCUCUAAGGAAUCUCCGUACUGUUUUCCUUGGAGACCAUUCUAGAGGAUUGUUUCAGGCAGAAGAGGCUGAGCAAGGAAGAAUGCUGUUUGUGAUGCAUUUGUUUCCAUCAGGAGUAAUAACCACCCCAAUCACAUAUGUACCAUUCCAGCCUCAUUGGUUUCCUCCCUUUUGCCGGAAUAAGGUAUUUAAUUUCUGCUCACUUUCUCCCCUUCUCUCCUUUUCCCCAUUAACCUAAUUCCCACUCUUCAUUUAGAGCCCAUCUAAAUCUGACCAAUACUUUUAAGUUUUCUCAAGCUUUUCUGGUCUGGAAAUCCCUUCUUGCCUUAUCAAUUAAAAUCUGCAGGCUUCAAGAGGUGCUUAGCUCAAUUAUGCCCAUAUCAUCAAUGAUUUUGUAACAACUGUAUUUUCUCUCCAAAAGUAUAUUGAAAACCCUUAACCCCAUUAGGUUAAGGUCCUAAUGCUACACAUUUUUCUAGUUUUAAAAAUUAAGGUAUAAUUCUUCCCUUUUUGUAUAUUAAUUCCACAAGUUCUAACAAAUGACAUAUUCCAUUGUAUGUGUGUACCAUAGUUUUUUUUAUUGACUCCCAAGCUGAAGGACUUUUGAGUUAUUUACAACUUGGAUGACUAUGAA